rnacentral:pre_miRNA from 1 species
UUUUAUGGAUUAGCAAAGACAGUGGUUUCUUGAGAUGGAAUCUAUUCCCAGUGAAGAUACUGUGAA